rnacentral:lncRNA from 1 species
UGGUAAGUUUUCAUGUAAUUCAAUCCUUCAGUCAAACAACAUCCCGGAUGAGCUGUGGGUAUGAUAAUAUAUCAAAUAUAAUCACUUAUCAUUAUGUAUCUCAAUUAGAAAGUGAUGAUUCAAUUGAUGAUAUAUUAAAAAAAUUUUUAAUUAUCAUCCUACUUUGGCCAAAGACUUUCGAAUCAACAACCUAUGAGAUCACAUAGGAUGUUCUCUCCCCUUAUUAGGAGUGACUGAUCCCUUGUCGAUCACUCAUAAUCUUCAUGCACUCUUCACCACAUCCAAAACACCCCACACAAGGAUCAGAGAACUAAAUUAGAUAGUGAACCAAAAUAUAGAUUCAAGUACAUAAGGUACCAUGGUGACCUCAGGUCUAAAGAUCACUUAUACAACUCCCACUAGAGAAUCAUCAGUUGACAUGUAAAUAAGACUCCAUCUGAUAUUCUCUCGUAGGUCAAUUUAGAGAACUCUUUCUCUAAUGAGCACCCAUAUUCUUGUAUUAGUAUCACUAUACAAGUGGUUAUGAGAUCAACCAUCCUCAUUUCUAAGCAUACAUAGGAUAUGUCAGUCUUUCCAGUAUCAUUGAUCUCUGACUCAAUGUACCAAUGAUUAAAAAUAUUUUAGGUUAGAACUAUCAAGAAAUUAAAUCUCACUGGUGUGAUCUUAUUACGACACUAAAAUCAUUGUCCAGACCUAUGGAGUUCAAUAUAAUCUUAAAAUAAAUAAGAUACAGUAUAUAAUGAAUCAAAAAUAUCUUAUUUUAUUAAUAAUAAAUAUUAAUUUAUAAGUCUGAAAGAUAAAUUAUAAUAAAUAUCCUAUCGCAUUUCAUAUGCGAUUGGCUUGUAGGAUAUUAUUCUUUCACUUAUUAACUGUCAUUCACCUGCUAAAUAGGGUUCCAUCAAAAUCUAUUCCUACCACACCAUAUGAGAUAUGGUAUAGUAAGAAGCUGAGUCUAAGUUAUCUUAAGACUUGAGAAUGUCCGGUCUAUGUCAAAAGAUAAAUGGCUGAUAAAUUAAAGGAUAGAUCUGUAAUAGCUCAUUUUAUAGGGUAUCCAAAAGAAUCAAUGGGAUACUACUACUUUUCACAAAACCACAAUGUGAUUAUGAAUCAGAAUACCAUAUUCUUAAAAAAAUAGUUUAUCCAGAGUGGUGGCAGUGGGAGGUUAGUUGAGCUCGAAGAGGUCUCUGAAGAGCAAAGAGCUAUAGAUCCUCAGGAGCC